rnacentral:rRNA from 1 species
UAGUGCUGCAGUUUAACNCAUUAANNACUCCGCNUGGNGAGUACGNUCGCAAGACUGAAANUCAAAAGGAAUUGACGGGGGCCCGCACAAGCGGUGGAGCAUGUGGUUUAAUUCGAAAGCAACGCGAAGAACCUUACCAGGUCUUGACAUCCUCUGACAAUCCUAGAGAUAGGACGUCCCCCUUCGGGGGCAGAGUGACAGGUGGUGCAUGGUUGUCGUCAGCUCGUGUCGUGAGAUGUUGGGUUAAGUCCCGCAACGAGCGCAACCCUUGAUCUUAGUUGCCAGCAUUCAGUUGGGCACUCUAAGGUGACUGCCGGUGACAAACCGGAGGAAGGUGGGGAUGACGUCAAAUCAUCAUGCCCCUUAUGACCUGGGCUACACACGUGCUACAAUGGACAGAACAAAGGGCAGCGAAACCGCGAGGUUAAGCCAAUCCCACAAAUCUGUUCUCAGUUCGGAUCGCAGUCUGCAACUCGACUGCGUGAAGCUGGAAUCGCUAGUAAUCGCGGAUCAGCAUGCCGCGGUGAAUACGUUCCCGGGCCUUGUACACACCGCCCGUCACACCACGAGAGUUUGUAACACCCGAAGUCGGUGAGGUAACCUUUAUGGAGCCAGCCGCCGAAGNGGACAG